UUCCAAAUGUACUGAGUUUGAAAGACCCCCGAAGGGAGACCCUCACUCAAGCCUCGGGACAGCCGCGGACCCAAGAAGACACUGAGACCU
rnacentral:pre_miRNA from 7 species